rnacentral:rRNA from 1 species
UACGGGGGGGCAAGCGUUGUUCGGAAUUACUGGGCGUAAAGGGCGCGUAGGCGGCCUUCUAAGUCGGACGUGAAAUCCCUCGGCUUAACCGAGGAACUGCGUCCGAUACUGAAAGGCUUGAAUCCGGGAGAGGGAUGUGGAAUUCCAGGUGUAGCGGUGAAAUGCGUAGAUAUCUGGAGGAACACCGGUGGCGAAGGCGGCAUCCUGGACCGGCAUUGACGCUGAGGCGCGAAAGCCAGGGGGAGCAACGGG